AGAGUUUGAUCCUGGCUCAGGAUGAACGCUAGCGGGAGGCUUAACACAUGCAAGUCGUGGGGCAGCACGGGGUAGCAAUACUCUGGUGGCGACCGGCGCACGGGUGAGUAGCGCGUAUGCAACCUGCCCUGUACAGGGGGAUAGCCCGGAGAAAUUCGGAUUAAUACCCCAUAAAGAUAUUUAGAGGCAUCUCUGAAUAUUUAAAGCUUCGGCGGUACGGGAUGGGCAUGCGUGACAUUGGCUAGUUGGUAGGGUAACGGCCUACCAAGGCCACGAUGUCUAGGGGUCCUGAGAGGGUGAUCCCCCACACUGGUACUGAGACACGGACCAGACUCCUACGGGAGGCAGCAGUGAGGAAUAUUGGUCAAUGGGCGCAAGCCUGAACCAGCCAUCCCGCGUGAAGGAAGAAGGCGCUAUGCGUUGUAAACUUCUUUUCUAGGGGAAUAAAAUUUCGUACGUGUACGGAACUGAAGGUACCUUGGGAAUAAGCAUCGGCUAACUCCGUGCCAGCAGCCGCGGUAAUACGGAGGAUGCGAGCGUUAUCCGGAUUCAUUGGGUUUAAAGGGUGCGUAGGCGGACUUAUAAGUCAGUGGUGAAAACCUGCAGCUUAACUGUAGACGUGCCAUUGAUACUGUUAGUCUUGAGUAUGGUCAAGGUAGGCGGAAUGUGUAAUGUAGCGGUGAAAUGCUUAGAUAUUACACAGAACACCGAUUGCGAAGGCAGCUUACUGGGCCAUUACUGACGCUGAUGCACGAAAGCGUGGGGAGCGAACAGGAUUAGAUACCCUGGUAGUCC
rnacentral:rRNA from 1 species